rnacentral:misc_RNA from 1 species
UCCGGUUUGUCACCGGCAGUCUGGCGUGAGUCCCCAACUUAAUGAUGGCAACACGCCACGGGGGUUGCGCUCGUUGCGGGACUUAACCCAACAUCUCACGACACGAGCUGACGACAGCCAUGCACCACCUGUGAUCGCGCCCCGAAGGGAGGGUGUGUUUCCACACCGGUCGCGAACAUGUCAAGCCCUGGUAAGGUUCUUCGCGUUGCAUCGAAUUAAGCCACAUGCUCCACCGCUUGUGCGGGCCCCCGCCAAUUCCUUUGAGUUUUAAUCUUGCGAUCGUAGUUCCCAGGCGGUUCACUUAAUGCGUUAGCUGCGGCACCGAGGCAAAGCCCCAACACCUAGUGAACAUCGUUUAUGGCCAAGACUAC